GAUUCCGGGUCGCGGCGGACGUCGCUUCCGGAGCAGCAUGGCGGCCACUGACGACGAGAGGCUAGCAGGGAGCGGUGAGGGAGAGCGGCUGGAUUUCUUACGGGAUCGGCACGUGCGAUUUUUCCAGCGCUGCCUCCAGGUUUUGCCGGAGCGCUAUUCUUCACUCGAGACAAGCAGGUUGACAAUUGCAUUUUUUGCACUCUCCGGGCUGGAUAUGUUGGAUUCCUUAGAUGUGGUGAACAAAGAUGAUAUAAUAGAGUGGAUUUACUCCCUGCAGGUCCUUCCCACAGAAGACAGAUCAAAUCUAAAUCGCUGUGGUUUCCGAGGCUCUUCAUACCUGGGUAUUCCGUUCAAUCCAUCAAAGGCUCCUGGAACAGCUCAUCCUUAUGAUAGUGGCCACAUUGCAAUGACCUACACUGGCCUCUCAUGCUUAGUUAUUCUUGGAGACGACUUAAGCCGAGUAAAUAAAGAAGCUUGCUUAGCGGGCUUGAGAGCCCUUCAGCUGGAAGAUGGGAGUUUUUGUGCAGUACCUGAAGGCAGUGAAAAUGACAUGCGAUUUGUGUACUGUGCUUCCUGUAUUUGCUAUAUGCUCAACAACUGGUCAGGCAUGGAUAUGAAAAAAGCCAUCACCUAUAUUAGAAGGAGUAUGUCCUAUGACAAUGGACUGGCACAGGGAGCUGGACUUGAAUCUCAUGGAGGAUCAACUUUUUGUGGCAUUGCCUCCCUAUGUCUGAUGGGUAAACUAGAAGAAGUUUUUUCAGAAAAAGAAUUGAACAGGAUAAAGAGGUGGUGUAUAAUGAGGCAACAAAAUGGUUAUCAUGGAAGACCUAAUAAGCCUGUAGACACCUGUUAUUCUUUUUGGGUGGGAGCAACUCUGAAGCUUCUAAAAAUUUUCCAAUACACUAACUUUGAGAAAAAUAGAAAUUACAUCUUAUCAACUCAAGAUCGCCUUGUAGGGGGAUUUGCCAAGUGGCCAGACAGUCAUCCAGAUGCUUUGCAUGCAUACUUUGGGAUCUGUGGCCUGUCACUAAUGGAGGAAAGUGGAAUUUGUAAAGUUCAUCCUGCUCUGAAUGUAAGCACACGGACUUCUGAACGCCUUCUAGAUCUCCAUCAAAGCUGGAAAACCAAGGACUCUAAACAAUGCUCAGAGAAUAAAGAAUUUCCUGGACUAAAGGAUUUAUGCUUUAAAAAUAUUGGUAGUUACUGCCAAGAAUUGCCAUCCAGAAACAGUGUAGCCAUUCAUAAACUCAACAACAAGGUAUGAGAGUGCCUGUUUCCUCAUAUCCUUUGUGACACUGGAUUUUAUCAAGCUUAAGGUUUUUUCAUUCUAGAAACAUUCAGAAUUUGGACUGGCAUGAUGUCAUAGCUUUACUUCAAAGACUGUAGUGGAACUUCUACUUCCAACCAAGAUGAAGUGGCAGGACUGGAUUUUCCUCCCUUGUAAAAAAAAAAAAAAAAAAGUUAAAACCUGGAUUAAAUACAUAAACCAGUGGUUAUCAAGACAUUGAACAUAAGGAAAUGGAAAGUGAUCCCAGAGAGACAGAGAAAAAAUGAGCGCAUGACAGAAUCUUUGGACUUUGAGCCUUGUCAGAGUUGGACUGCUGCAGAAACCACCACAGUCUGGCAUGAAUUAAGUCCCACUGCAGAGGUGAACUGGAGCCAAGAUUUCAAUCUCCAAAUGAUUACUACUGGGGGAAAAAGGCUCUGGGCCAUGCUGACAAUGAAUAUCAGCUGCUUUGGGUAACUGGGACUGUUAGCACUCCUCUCCCCGCAGCCGAAAAAACCGAAUUGUGAUUCUUAUAGUACUGACUGGAUUAUUUGUGCUACAUUGCUUCCCCACUGUCUUCACAUCAUAGAACGUGUAGAAAAAAAUUAUUGCAUUUGUAGGGCACCCGCAGUAAACCCAGGAGGCAACUUAUAGGCAGAAUUCACCAUCCUGGAAGCUCUAGUUGAAUCGUGUCCCAGUUCCUCUCAAGGGCUGAAGAUACUAAGAAGUUCUUUCUAAUUCCUAGCUGGUAUAUGUCAACUUUAAAAAUCAUGUUCUUGGCCGGGCACGAUGGCUCGUGCCUGUAAUCCCAGCACUUUGGGAGGCCGAGGCAGGCAGAUCACCUGAGGUCGGGGGUUCGAGACCAGCCUGACCAACAUGAAGAAACCCCAUCUCUACUAAAAAUACAAAAAAAUUAACCAGGCGUGGUGGCACAUGCCUGUAAUCCCAGCUACUCAGGAUGCUGAGGCAGGAUAAUCGCUUGAUCCUGGGAGGCGGAGGUUGCAGUGAGCCGAGAUCGCGCCAUUGCACUCCAGCCUGGGCAACAAGAGCAAAACUCCAUCUCAAAAAAGAAAAAAGAGGGGCAUCCUACAAAAUACCUGACCAGUACUCCUUAAAACUGUCACAGUCAUCAAGAACAAGGAAAGUCUGAGAAAGUGUCACCGCCAAGAAGAGAUAUGAGAAUUAUUUGUAACGUAGUAUCCUGGAUGGGAUCCUGGAAAGAAAAAGGACACCAGGUCUUUCAUCUCUGAAGAAGGCGGUGGGAAACAAAUGUGAUUUCUCCUCUUCAUACUCCUUUUCUCAUUUAUUCUGCAGAACAUUUCAAAGCAACACCCAGGAACCUUCAGAAUGGUAAAAAAAACAUUGAUGCUUAGCUAUGAGGCAUGAGGCAGGAGGAGUAAUACAAAGUGGACCUUUGCCCCAGGAUGAUGACUGAGGUAUGACUAGAAGGUUCUUCAUCCUCUCAAAGAGCAAACUUUUGUGGCAGUAACACAACCAGGCAAGAUGAGAGAAGCAGAUCAAAGAAACUAAAAACAGAGAAAGAAAUGGUGUAUCAUUUCACUGUGUACCCUGCAGGGAAAUAAAGGUUCUGCCCUACCUACCAAGAUCAUAUUGCCUUAGCAUCAAAAAGCCCAAUACAAAAUAAAAGCUUUCAAAACACA